CACAUCCUGCAACUAGAAGUGGGCCAGCAAGCUUGGAAUAAAAAUUAGUCGAAGAAAGUUCGUGAGGGGGAGUGUGUCACGACUACGGACUUACGGGGGAAGGAAGCGCAGAGGUCUGACAUACUGGGAAGGGGUUUUUAUUAACAAACAAAGAAAUACAAAUAAAGACUGGCGCGGUGGCCGAAAACGAUUUAAACUUAAAUAAAGAACAUAAACAAACCCGUAGGCGUGUGGCGAUUGCCAGAACUCAAAACACAUAACACUAAACAAGGUCAAGUUCGUGCAUAGAGUUCACGAAAAUGCCAGCGACCCCGAACGGGCGGAAACUUCCGGCAUUUAUGGGGCGUCAGGAUUAAAGUCAGGUGUGGAGGCCAGCUGCAGGCAAUCCUGACAGAGCCCCCCCUCCAAGGGCUACGUCCUCGGAGCCCCAACAGUACCAUCAGUGGAGGCGGCGGGGUGGACGGCGGCAACCACAGGGCUCCUGCCCUGCUGUAUCCUCCCCUUGGAGGACCCGGUCCCUCGGGCUGGCUCCCCGGCGUGGUCAGGCGUGGCGGCCCCGGUCCCUCGGGCUGGCUCCCCGGCGUGGUCAGGCGUGGCGGCCCCGGUCCCUCGGGCUGGCUCCCCGGCGUGGUCAGGCGUGGCGGCCCCGGUCCCUCGGGCUGGCUCCCCGGCGUGGGUCAGGCGUGGCGGCCCCGGUCCCUCGGGCUGGCUCCCCGGCGUGGUCAGGCGUGGCGGCCCCGGACCCUCGGGCUGGCUCCCCGGCGUGGUCCCGCUUGGCGGCCCCGGACCCUCGGCCUGGCUCCCCGGCGUGGUCCCGCUUGGCGGCCCCGGACCCUCGGCCUGGCUCCCCGGCGUGGUCCCGCUUGGCGGCCCCGGGACCCUCGGCCUGGCUCCCCGGCGUGGUCCCGCUUGGCGGCCCCGGACCCUCGGCCUGGCUCCCCGGCGUGGUCCCGCUUGGCGGCCCCGGACCCUCGGCCUGGCUCCCCGGCGUGGUCCCGCAUGGCGGCCCCGGACCCUCGGCCUGGCUCCCCGGCGUGGUCCCGCAUGACGGCCCCGGACUCCCGUAUCUGCACACAAUAAUCAGGGCCGAUCCAUCUGGGUACGUGUGGGCCCUGUCUCCACAUGUCCCCUCUGACACAUCUUGUGUCACCCCCUGCACCGCGCAGGGAGAUUGUCCCAGAGCCUCCGGCGACUGUUCCAGGCACCCCAGGCUGGUGCCUUCUGGGACUAUGCAGCCCCUCUCGCUGCCCGGCCCUGGUGCCAAGGGGGGGGCAUUGCCAGACCAUCCGGCUAGCCCCUUCUGCGUCCGUUGGGACAAGCAGGCCCUCUUCCUGCCUGUCCCAGCUGGGUCCUCAUGCCUACCCGGGGGCUCUAUGGCGCUCCACCCCUCUGGAGGCAGACGCAGGCCCAUGCCUGCCCCGCCCUCCUCACUGGCUACCGGAGGACCCAGCUCCAUCGCUUCCCCAC
rnacentral:lncRNA from 1 species